rnacentral:rRNA from 1 species
GAUCAUGGCUCAGGAUGAACGCUAGCGGCAGGCCUAACACAUGCAAGUCGAGGGGCAGCACGAUAAAGCUUGCUUUAUUGGUGGCGACCGGCGCACGGGUGCGUAACGCGUAUGCAACCUACCCUGUACUGGGGGAUAACCCGGAGAAAUUCGGACUAACACCCCAUAGUAAUAUACUUUCGCAUGUUAGUAUAUUUAAAGGUUACGGUACAGGAUGGGCAUGCGUCCUAUUAGCUAGAUGGUGAGGUAACGGCUCACCAUGGCGAUGAUAGGUAGGGGGCCUGAGAGGGUGGUCCCCCACACUGGUACUGAGACACGGACCAGACUCCUACGGGAGGCAGCAGUGAGGAAUAUUGGUCAAUGGGCGCAAGCCUGAACCAGCCAUGCCGCGUGCAGGAAGAAUGCCCUAUGGGUUGUAAACUGCUUUUAUUUGGGAAUAAACCUCUUUACGUGUAGAGAGCUGAAGGUACCAAAUGAAUAAGCACCGGCUAACUCCGUG